UCCCGGUUGGCCCGGGCAGUUUCGUAUGAAAAAUUCAACAUACGAUAAGGGUUGCGCUCGUUGCGGGACUUAACCCAACAUCUCACGACACGAGCUGACGACGGCCAUGCAGCACCUGUCACCAGGUUCCCGAAGGCACAUCUGUCUUUCGACUGACUUCCUGGGAUGUCAAACCUCGGUAAGGUUCUACGCGUAGCUUCAUAUUAAACCACAUCAUCCUCUGCUUGUGCGGGUCCCCGUCAAUUCCUUUGAGUUUUAAGCUUGCGCUCGUACUCCCCAGGCGGUGUGCUUAACGCGUUAGCUGUUCAGCCCAAGGGGUCGAUACCUCGAACUAAUAGCACACAUCGUUUACGGCGUGGACUAC
rnacentral:misc_RNA from 1 species